GGCACGGUGGUGCAGUGGUUAGCACUCUUGCCUCCCGGCAAGACGACUCUGGGUGUGAUUCCCAGGCCUGGGGCC